UCAUCGGUAGUGUCUGAGAGGAUGAUCAGCACCCGGGCUGAGCACGCCCGGCUCCUCGGGAGCAGCAGUGGGAAUUGGACAAUGGGGCACCCUGACCAGCGAUCCGCGUGUGUGAAGAAGGCUUCGGGUUGUAAAGCCUUUCGCGGGGGAAGAAAUUCGCGCUCUAACAUAGCGCGGCACUGACGGUACCCCGAGAAGAAGNCCGGCUACUCCGUGCCAGCAGCCGCGGUAAUACGGAGGGCGCAAGCGUUAAUCGGAGUGACUGGGCGUAAGGCGUGCGCAGGCGGCCGCGGAAGUCGGAUGUGAAAGCCCCGGGCUCAACCCGGGAACUGCGUUCGAAACUCCGCGGCUCGAGUCCGGCAGAGGAAGGUGGAAUUCCGCGUGUAGCGGUGAAAUGCGUAGAGAUGCGGAAGAACACUAAUGGCGAAGGCAUCCUUCUGGGCCGGCACUGACGCUGAGGCACGAAAGCGUGGGUAGCAAACAGGAUUAGAUACCCUGGUAGUC
rnacentral:rRNA from 1 species